rnacentral:rRNA from 1 species
UAAGACGAACCGUGCGAACGUUAUUCGGAAUCAUUGGGCUUAAAGGGCGCGUAGGCGGGUCAGCACGUCGGAACUGAAAUCCCCCGGCUCAACCGGGGAACGGGCUCCGAUACGGUUGACCUCGAGGUGAGAAGGGGGACCUGGAACGUCCGGUGGAGCGGUGAAAUGCGUUGAGAUCGGACGGAACGCCAAUGGCGAAAGCAAGGUCCUGGACUCAUACUGACGCUGAGGCGCGAAAGCCAGGGGAGCGAACGGGAUUAGAUACCCCGGUAGUCCUGGCCGUAAACGAUGGGCACUUGGCCGCGGGCUCGCCGAUGGGCACGCCGCCGAAGCGAAAGCGCAAGUGCCCCGCCUGGGGAGUAUGGUCGCAAGGCUG